UACGUAGGGGGCAAGCGUUAUCCGGAUUUAUUGGGCGUAAAGCGCGCGUAGGCGGCUUGUUAAGUCAGAUGUGAAAACCGGGGGCUCAACCCGCGGCCUGCAUCUGAAACUGGCAGGCUUGAGUCUGGUAGAGGAAAGUGGAAUUCCUGGUGUAGCGGUGAAAUGCGCAGAUAUCAGGAGGAACACCAGUGGCGAAGGCGGCUUUCUGGGCCACGACUGACGCUGAGGCGCGAAAGCUAGGGGAGCGAACAGG
rnacentral:rRNA from 1 species